AUUGCCGCUGGCGGCGUGCCUAAUACAUGCAAGUCGAGCGAAUGGAUUAAGAGCUUGCUCUUAUGAAGUUAGCGGCGGACGGGUGAGUAACACGUGGGUAACCUACCCAUAAGACUGGGAUAACUCCGGGAAACCGGGGCUAAUACCGGAUAAUAUUUUGAACUGCAUAGUUCGAAAUUGAAAGGCGGCUUCGGCUGUCACUUAUGGAUGGACCCGCGUCGCAUUAGCUAGUUGGUGAGGUAACGGCUCACCAAGGCAACGAUGCGUAGCCGACCUGAGAGGGUGAUCGGCCACACUGGGACUGAGACACGGCCCAGACUCCUACGGGAGGCAGCAGUAGGGAAUCUUCCGCAAUGGACGAAAGUCUGACGGAGCAACGCCGCGUGAGUGAUGAAGGCUUUCGGGUCGUAAAACUCUGUUGUUAGGGAAGAACAAGUGCUAGUUGAAUAAGCUGGCACCUUGACGGUACCUAACCAGAAAGCCACGGCUAACUACGUGCCAGCCGCCGCGGUAAUACA
rnacentral:rRNA from 1 species